rnacentral:sRNA from 2 species
UUGCCUCUUGCUAACGCGAUGAAACUCAUGAAUUGUGUUUUGGUGUUCCAAACUAUCAACAUUCCAAUUGUUGGUUUCCACCACUUCAAACAUACUCGUACUACGCAUUGUGAGCUAUUGUUUUAGUGGUCCUGCGCAGGGUCCUGAGAACAACACUUUCGCCUUUGCAGGUGAUCUGCAUCCCUUUCUUUUUUACUCUCUCAAUGGGUGGAAGCUGUGCACGGCCAGCGAAUAUAACGGCUAGUGAAGUGGGAAAGGCUCACAUUUGAAACUUGACGCCCGCAAUGUCAUCAACAGGCACCUUCGCCAUUAGAAGUUACAUCCCCGGCAUUCUAAUUCUCGUUAGCUUAACAUCACUUAGAAAGCUCUUACCACUAAAAUUGAUGCUAAUAAUGGAUAUCGCUUCAACAGAAGAUCUUUAAGUACAGUACAACAAGGAACGGAACUAUCUCUCGUGAGUGAAUGCGGAAGGAAUGGAAGGCUCCAUAUUUUGAUAAGAUCAACAUAUGAUAUAGAUGUUCUGUCUUCAAAGCAUACCAUUAUCCUAUAUGAAAUCUAACGAUUUGGAAACAGGUGUGCUUCAUUACGCUUGUGGAUAUGCAAAAUGUCUCCGGAAUGCUGGAUUAUCAAAGAUGGAUUCAACCCAGGCC